CAUAUGUGUCAUGGCACAUGAAUGCCCAUGUAUGCAUGUGAAUGUGCACAUACAUGCACACAUAUACACACAAUG
ensembl:miRNA predicted gene, 44328